GCCUGAAUAGUCUAGAGGUAGGAUUCAUCCUUCGGGAACUCCCGGCUCUCAAAAGAGCUAUGAAUGGAUGAGGCCCGCGUUCGAAUCGCGGUUCAGGCC